rnacentral:rRNA from 1 species
CGAACCGGGGGAACUGAAACAUCUAAGUACCCCGAGGAAAAGAAAUCAACCGAGAUUCCCCCAGUAGCGGCGAGCGAACGGGGAGCAGCCCAGAGCCUGAAUCAGUAUGUGUGUUAGUGGAAGCGUCUGGAAAGGCGCGCGAUACAGGGUGACAGCCCCGUACACAAAAAUGCACAUGCUGUGAGCUCGAUGAGUAGGGCGGGACACGUGGUAUCCUGUCUGAAUAUGGGGGGACCAUCCUCCAAGGCUAAAUACUCCUGACUGACCGAUAGUGAACCAGUACCGUGAGGGAAAGGCGAAAAGAACCCCGGCGAGGGGAGUGAAAAAGAACCUGAAACCGUGUACGUACAAGCAGUGGGAGCACGCUUAGGCGUGUGACUGCGUACCUUUUGUAUAAUGGGUCAGCGACUUAUAUUCUGUAGCAAGGUUAACCGAAUAGGGGAGCCGAAGGGAAACCGAGUCUUAACUGGGCGUUAAGUUGCAGGGUAUAGACCCGAAACCCGGUGAUCUAGCCAUGGGCAGGUUGAAGGUUGGGUAACACUAACUGGAGGACCGAACCGACUAAUGUUGAAAAAUUAGCGGAUGACUUGUGGCUGGGGGUGAAAGGCCAAUCAAACCGGGAGAUAGCUGGUUCUCCCCGAAAGCUAUUUAGGUAGCGCCUCGUGAAUUCAUCUCCGGGGGUAGAGCACUGUUUCGGCAAGGGGGUCAUCCCGACUUACCAACCCGAUGCAAACUGCGAAUACCGGAGAAUGUUAUCACGGGAGACACACGGCGGGUGCUAACGUCCGUCGUGAAGAGGGAAACAACCCAGACCGCCAGCUAAGGUCCCAAAGUCAUGGUUAAGUGGGAAACGAUGUGGGAAGGCCCAGACAGCCAGGAUGUUGGCUUAGAAGCAGCCAUCAUUUAAAGAAAGCGUAAUAGCUCACUGGUCGAGUCGGCCUGCGCGGAAGAUGUAACGGGGCUAAACCAUGCACCGAAGCUGCGGCAGCGACGCUGAUGCGUUGUUGGGUAGGGGAGCGUU